UACAGAGGGCUCAAGCGUUGUCCGGAUUUACUGGGCGUAAAGAGCGCGCAGGCGGUCGUUCAAGUCGAGUGUGAAAGCCCCCGGCUCAACUGGGGAGGGUCACUUGAUACUGAUCGACUCGAAGGCAGGAGAGGGAAGCGGAAUUCCCGGUGUAGUGGUGAAAUGCGUAGAUAUCGGGAGGAACACCAGUGGCGAAGGCGGCUUCCUGGCCUGUUCUUGACGCUGAGGCGCGAAAGCUAGGGGAGCAAACGGG
rnacentral:rRNA from 1 species